rnacentral:rRNA from 1 species
CAGUCGCCGCGGUAAUACGUAGGUGGCAAGCGUUGUCCGGAAUUAUUGGGCGUAAAGGGCUCGCAGGCGGUUUCUUAAGUCUGAUGUGAAAGCCCCCGGCUCAACCGGGGAGGGUCAUUGGAAACUGGGAAACUUGAGUGCAGAAGAGGAGAGUGGAAUUCCACGUGUAGCGGUGAAAUGCGUAGAGAUGUGGAGGAACACCAGUGGCGAAGGCGGCUUUUUGGCCUGUAACUGACACUGAGGCGCGAAAGCGUGGGGAGCAAACAGGAUUAGAUACCCCUGUAGUCCCUGUCUCUUAUAC